GCUUUGGCUAUGUCAUAAAGGCAUUUAUUAGCUAGAGAAAGAGCUAGGCUUGAUCACAGCUAUCAGUAUGGUGAAUACUUGCCUAGCCUGGGACUUCGUUACUAGUAAAAGGCCAUGCCGUCUGGGCUUGCCCUCCAGCUCCAGCGACAGGUCCGAGGUUCAUCACGGCCAGCAAAUGUUUUAGUGGCGGUCAUGUGACUUGAUUGUGGCGAAUGAGACUCAAGGAGAGGUUUGCGAAGGCUUCUGAGAAAGUUCUUCGACGUGCCUUAGAGAGAGAGGGAGCAGGAGAGUCUACUCUCCCUUUCCCCAGUGAGACAGGAGCAAGGACGCAAGGAGCCCUGACGCCUGUGAUUGCCACCCUGCAGCCACGAGGGGACCCCGCCUUAGGAUGAGGCUGGCACAGGUCCCUGAUGUCAUGGCUGAGGUCCUGCAUUCACCAACUCUGGGCACGGGAGCUCAGAACUUUCCUCACUGUUGGAUCGGUCUGAGUAGGGCAUCAUGUUACCGUGAGCUCAGCUCAUACUAACCAAGGAGUCCCCAGUGAAAGGAAGAGCGAUUUAGCCAUUAGAGCUCAGUGUCUGGAGCACAAGAAAGAUUCUGAGUGCAGAUCCCAGCUCUGCCACUUGAUGCUUGAUGAGAAACUGGGCAAUUUACCCAACCCUCGUGAACAUCAGUUUAUUCAUCUGCAAAAUGGGGGCAUUAAUGUUACUGUGGUGCUUAUUUGCUGGUUUGGGCUAUCUGAAAUCCAGUCUCCCAUACAUUCAAAACUUCUUUGGGGGAUCCCCCAAUGGUGAGUACCCUUAGUGGAGGACAGACCUACCUGGCAUUGUCAAUGCUUCACAGACAAGAUGUUUUAUUCCUGCUCUGGCCCGGCCACGUGGCAGGUCUUGAUGUAAACUCAGCAAGUCCAGAUUGACUCUGGGGUGUGGAGAGGCUUGGAAGCCAUAUUGACUGGAGCAGCCGAGGUGGCACACGGAGCAGCCCUCCCCUGCUGCCUGGCCCUUGGAGGUUCACAGGGUCCCCGCCCCUUUUCACAACCUUGUGUUCUAGCCUUCUGACAAUUACCAUGAGGCCAAAUAUCCUGCUGAGGUGCAACAGUUCUUGGCUGUAUUGGAAGACCCCAAUAUCCUUCCAAUAAACUCCCUCCUGGAUAGCAAGUCGGCUUUGGUUGCUCGCAGCCAAGAAGGAUGCCAGAUAAAAGGGCCUCCUUUGUAAGGUUGCUGUGAGCCUUCACUGAAAUGGCACUUGUAAAGCAGUGCUCUGAACGCCUGCCUCAGUCCAUGUCAGCUAUUGAGAUUAUUACGGACUCAGAUGGCCCCCUUGAAGGGAUGGUCUGAGCUAAACACAAGGUUUUAAUUGACCAAAAAGGGUACACAGGAUCCCAGUUGCCAAAUUGGCAACCUUCCCCUCCAUACCCAGCCUCUGGCUGCUUGGGGUCUCCUGCUUGCCAAAUUCACCAUGAAUUGGCAACACUUGGUGGACACAACAGAAUGAAGGCACGGACCAUCCAAAAGCCAUACCAAACAAACAAAAAUGCGGAGUGACGAUUUUGGCAACAAAUUCUCCUUCUUAACCACGGCUUAUUAGCCCUAAUGUGAAAAUCACUUUAUAGGCUCAGGACACACGGCCACUGGGCAGCAUGAGGAAGACAGAGUGGUGAAGGGACCAGGGCACAAGGGCAGAGACUCAAACCAGCUCUGGAGUUAAACAACUAUCCCCGAGACGUGUUCUGUAACGGCUCUGCCUGGCCUCUUUGCCACCAAACAUGCUUUGAAGUGGCUGAACCUGAUUCUCAUCUGACAGGUAUGAGUCAGAUGAGGAAAGCAUGUGGCUAUACUUUGUCAUUCGGUACAUUCCAGACAGCAAGUGACCAUUGCCAUCAACAGCAUCAUCAUCAACAGCAUCUUUUUCUUCUUAACAUUUACUAAACUAUUAUUAAAUCCCACGAUGGAGUACCCAUUUUAUGCACAUUACUUCAUUUAAUCCUUAAAACAACCUUAGGGGGCCAGGUACUAUCAUUGCCGUUAAUAAACUCAUGCUUAAAGAACUUGAGUGACUUGCCCAAGGUCAUAUAGCUAACAAGUGAUGGAUCCACAAUUCACCGCCAGGUUUGGCCAGACCCUUGAAGACUUCGCCAGCCCUCAGCCAGACUGCCCCAGGGGCACCCCUCUCCUGGCACACACUCACACGUUCUGACUCUAAUUUCAGCCUGCCUUAUUCUCAACAGACCUUUCUCUGUAGCCUUAACAGCCACAGAACAGAACUUUGGCUAAAGUGCCUUUGUAUUUUUAUUUGGAAGAUGGGUUUUAUGCCCUGGUUGGGGCUGACGGUGGAUCCCAUCUCUUCUACAGUAUAAACUCUUACGUACGUGCCAUAAAAAUGUCCCCUUGGUGCUUAUGGCAAUAUAUUGAUCUUGGCCAUUUAAUCUCACACGCGAAGUCAGAGGGUUGGGUACACUCUUUUCCACAUGUUGGGCCUGCAGGCUUUAGGCUUGUAAAUCUCGCCCCCCACACCAGUGCUGGGGGGCUAGGAAAAAGAGUUAUUUAUGAAUGGGAUUCUCAGGCAUUCUGCCCCAGAUUAAUUGCUUUCAGUCCUAUUUAACAGAGGUCCAAUGUGUCAAUGAUGGAAAAAUGAAUCACACAGCCACACCACUUCGAUGAGGAAAAAAAUCAGAAGACGCACACAUCUUUCUGAAAGAGAGGCAGGAGCACAGCCGAUCAAUAAGAUGCGCUGACGGUGGUGCCUGCAGCACAGCCAUUUCUCAGGCCGGACACUGAUGGCACCUAUCACCAGCAGUAAAAGGCUGCUCGAGACAGAAUCGAGGCUCGUCCCAUUGCAGGCCUGUCUACGCCUCUCUGAUAAACAUCCCCUGCACGAGCUUGCAGCAAAGAAACCAUUUCCAGGAGGCAAGGUGCCACCCGCCCGCCACCUGCCCUCCCACUUCCCAAUCCACAUUUCCUCGUACUGUUCCACAAUUCUCCCAGGCUCGCUGGCGCUGGCCAGGCCUCUCCAAGGAUGCCCCC
rnacentral:lncRNA from 1 species